CGAUACAUUCUGUACGAUUUCGUUCUUUGAGCGUGUGACGCCGUCACAGCCGUCACAGCCGUCACAACAGAGGGUAGACUGGGCUUGACUCAUUCAUCAGACUGUUAAGGAUACUCAAACGAUUGACUGAACUUGACUCAUUCAUCAGACUGACUUUUAAGGAUACUCAAAGGAUUCAUUUAGCCUAAGUCGAAUUUGUUUACGAAGUACUUUGAUUUCUUUGUUGCGAAUUUUUUUAGUUACGGAUGUGGUUACGUUGUGCGCGUAUAAAAGCCUCGUUUAGCGUCGCUUUAGCUAUUGUAUGAUUGUAUUUCACCUGGAUUAGGCUGGGUUGCACGAAAAAUAUAUCUGGCAUGGUAUAAAUCCACGGAUGGGAUGGCAUUUGUCCGGAGAAGAAAGGAGUGCUGUUGAAGUUUCGGAUGUGUGUUUUGUGGACAAGUCUCUUUUAAAAUGGCAAAUUUCCUUUGCGUCUCGUUUAGUGGCUUUGCAGUCGCCUUUAACGAAGUCCAUGGACUUAAUUCAGGUAAGUG